UACUUGGUCUAAUGGCUAGGAUAUCUGGAUUUCACCCAGAAGGCCCGGGUUCGAUUCCCAGCGAGGGGAA
rnacentral:tRNA from 1 species